CCAUAGGAGGUCACUCUCACACAUAUCAAUAUUUGAUUUAAGUGCUAAAUGGGUGAGUGGCUAAGUAACUAUGAUGCUAAAAUUUAAAUCACAAAGAUAUCGAUUUACUAACUUUGAUGCUUGACUUGUUUCUCUGGAAUAUUUUUGCAGAGGCGUUGUUGCUUGGGGUAUUAUUGGUAAGGCCACCAUCAAAUAUAUGUUAAUUUCGCGUCCUGACGACCAUGCAAAAAUGAGCUGUCCCGUCCGUAACUUAAAAAAAAAAGGAAAUUAAUUUUCGGAAGUUUUUGUCAAUUUUUGUCAAUUUUGCAUAAAUUAGUUCUAGCGAAAAAAAAUUUCUUUUUGAAAAAUAUCUUGCAAAAUUCGGGUUUUUAUUACCAAAAGUGAGUCGGUCAGAGGACGCGAACACAACAUAUUUUUAAUGACGGUCUAAUCUUCAAGUGUAGUGGAGUUCCGUGAGUAUCUAGUUGUGAGUUGCGGAGUUAGUGAAUUGUCUCAUUUUACGGAAAACGAUUGCCAGGAAAAUAUCUUCGAUUACCGUGGACAUGAGACAUUUCUUUUCGUUUUUUUUUUUCAAGGUUUUCGUCUGUAAACGUCCAGAAAAGCCUGGGCCAGUCUAAAAUCGCCCGAAUUGAACCUGAAACGCAACACGCACGAGCUCAUUUUGAAAUUUUGUGUGAAAAGCCGCAAGUUGUCUGAUAGCCAGUGAUUUUUGCCGUUUCUGGCGAGUCAGCACCCUCGCCCGUGGACAAGUGCAUGUAGCCUCUACUGAUGGCGUUUUUUUGUAGUCAGACAUGUAACAAUUUUACUUGGAAACAGAACAGAAAUGGGAAAAAUAAAACUCUUGUUUUCCUAAAUAGAGUUUUUAAAUUGGCUGAAAAUCUUUUUUAUCAUUCGCAAUAAUGCAUGAUUCGGAAGGGAACAAAGUUCAAAAUUUAAAUUCAAUAUAAAUCAUGCUAAAGUGAGUUUGCACCACAAAUCAAAAUUUUACCCCCCCCCCUCUGGGAAAUUAAUAAAAAGAUUGUAUAUUUUUUUUUCUUUGUGAAGCUGAAUAAGAAUAAAAGCAACGUUUUAAUUUUGCUAGGGGAUUGGUUCAUGUUAAUGUUAUGAUGCACUUUCUUAUGCUUGAAAUCGUACCACACAAACUUUUCAGGGUGUGGUAGUUUAGGGUAUAAAAACCGAUGUUUGAUUUUGAACUUAUUUUGAAUUAUAAACAAUUUAUACAAUUUCUUCGUUCAAAACACCGAAGUAUACAGCAUCAGCUCCGAUGAUGAUAAGCAAUGCAAUCAGGUGAGGCUUUUUUAAAUCCAUUGCUUUGCUGAUAUUUUCUGAACACUUUACAUUUUGUAACCCAGAUUCCUUUGUCUUCUCUUUGUCUUAGACAAUCGAAAUAACCUCCAGUGCAACAUCAAUUAGCAAUAGCUCUAGUGUAAUUAAAGUUAAAUCAAUGAGGACUCUGAAAACACCAAACGACCUAAGAGAAGAAAGUUAAAUUUUGACAGUAGUUAUCACAAUCAAAGUAGUUCAGAUGACAGCAUUUUGCAGAAACCUCCUUUCGACUUCAAAGAAGAACACACAGAGAGUGACAGAUCAAGCUCCUCCAUAUCAGAUAUUGAUCACAACAUACUACUGACAGAUCUAGUAACUUCUUCAGAGAAAAAGUUUUUUCCUCUUUUUUAUCUAGAAAAAAAUAUUUGGAACCAAAUUGUUCAUACCAAUGGAGAAUUUGAGCAGUAAGGAAAUAAAAUAUAAAUAGGACAUAAAAAAAAAGAUCUUACUGGAGUUCGACGAUUAGCAUCUUGGAAAGGUGGGUUUGUGUGUGACAAUACGAACUGCUCAUUCCUUAAGGAAUAUGGAAAAGCAAACAAUUUUUGUUAGGCCUCAAUUGGGAAUUUCGAUAAGGGUCUCCUGCAGGCCCCCUGGUGGCGUCUGAAGGGAAAAUUUUAAAAUUCCAUGUUCUCAGAUGCCUGGAAACGGCCUUUCCCAGUGCAAUUUCUUCUAAAACAUUGGUCGAAGACUUCGUGUUUUUUACUCACAUGCUACCAUCUUAACUUUGCGUAAAAUGCUAAUCUAAGGUUAACGACAAAAGAAUAAAUAAAUAAAAACAAUGUUUACAAUAUUUUUCGAUUUAACAUAGCUUUUCACUACACCUAACUCACUUUCGCUACAUCAACAAAUUCUACUUAUUUCACAUUUCAAAUAGAACGUGUUCUUUCAAACUUUUUGGAUAAUCAAAACACGGCAAAGAAGGCAGACAGCGACAAGCCUGAAAAGCUCGCAAGCUUUGUAAAAAUAAAAAUUUCCAAAAUAUUGAUAGCCUAAAAGAGUGAAUAGUGUAGUGUUGGUGUUUCCUAGCAUUUAUCAACAUCAGAAUUUUCAAAUUAUACAUGCUUUUCAUGAACAUUGUAGCUUUUUUAAAAUCUUCCAUUGGGAAAAAGUAGGCUACUUUCAAUUGGAAAGAGGCCAUUACCGGCCUCUAUUUAAGCUAAGUAACACCCUGAACAACCAGCUCAACCUGUGAAAUGUUAAGCAAGGAAGAUUCAGGAAUUUGAUGUGGUGCUUAAGUUGUUAAAAUAUAUCAUUAUGGAAAACCAGAGCAAAAAAAAAAAAAGAAAAGGAAAUGAUGGUGAUCAAUCAAUUCAAAAAAAAAACAAGUAGUUGAAACCAAGUCAAGUACCCAGUGUUAACAUCAACAAAGCUGUGCAAAAUGGAAAUUGGAAAGAAGUAAAAAGGUUAAGUGAGGCACUAUGUGACACACAGCACACCAGAAACUUAAAAAAGAAGACCUUAAGAGAGGUAUAUAUUGUAACAAGUACUGUUCAUCCACAUACUUAUGUAUUGUGUGUUAGAAGAUAAACAUAUCACUGGUCUUAUUGCCUUUGUCUAAAUAAGUUAUUAUUUCAAUAGGUAUGAACACUUAGACAUAGCUUCGAUGCACUGGGUAUGUUAAAGGAGACCACAGAUUCCAUGGACCAGUUUCUUAUUUAUGAAGUAAAUGACAGACGUCUAAAUGGCAAUCAGUCAUUUGUCUUCAAAACAAGCAAAUUUAAAUUGGAGCUAGUAGAUCAAAUGAAUAAACUGGGGGAUCACAUGUUCUCAAGAAGUAUGGUCACAUCAAUGGCAAAAUCAACAGAUGUCCUGGCUCUUCUACAAUCACCCUUUCCUUAUAUCACCAUAUCCUGCAAACACAAUCCCAAUGCUUAUAAUUUCAAGGACCUGUGUCAUCAGUGGUUGGAGGUCAACACUAUCAGUAGAUAUCAAACAGUAAAAGGUUAUUUUAUUGAAUUUUAUUAGAAAAGCAGAGUCAAAAAAAAAUCUCCAUUACUUUGUAAACUGGUGGGACAGCAAACGUAUAUACACUUGUCAAGAGCAUACAAAACUGAUAUGUUCACUCCCAGACUUAAUCAAGCUGAAUCAAUCAAUGCAUCAUUUAAACAUUGUGGGAGUGGGAAGGUUAGUCUUCUUACAGCAGCUAAAGAUGACACAACAAACAGUAUUUUCAUCGAAACUCUUUGGCGAAAAUACUCUGAUGGUACAGCAACCUCAACAAUUAGAUUAACUCAAAGACAGCAUGCCAGGCAAAAACAUGAUGCAACAUUGAUGUGUGCUGAAAUUGGACAACUAUUAGAAAAUCCAUCCAAUCUGGAGUCAAUGGAAAGUCCAACCACUCAAGAAAUGUUUACAAUCAAUGAAUAUUGGAAACAUGCAGACCUUUGACAAACAAAGAGAAGAAAAAGUCAAGAAGAAAUAUCAUAGGAGAAGAAACACCAUUAACAUUAGGAACACCAUACAGAAUCAGGGGCAAAGCAAAACAAGACAUUUAAACGUUCCCUGGAAAAAGCAAAAAAAAAAAAAAAAAGGCAAAUUUUUUGUUCCAAGAUUCAAGACAGAUGCCGCCAUAAAUAUUACAGUGAAAUCUAAGAAAUUGACAUAUGCCACAAAAGAAUUAAAAAUGACUGUUGUGAAUACCUACGAUAUGGCCUACUUGCUACUGUGGAUUUAGCAUCAGCAACAAAACUGACAUCUGCAAGCACAUCAUUUGGGUUUUGCUGAACAUGUUCAGCUUCCACAAAAGCAACAAAAUUAUAUAUUAAAAAGGAUAUAUAUACACAAAAAGAGUUUCAAGUAAUGAGAGGGAUGUUUGUUGGACAUAUCCCACAUCAUUUAUAUUAUAUUCUUGCAAAAUUAAAAAACAAACAACAUAUAUUUAUACAUAUGGCUAGCUUUCUUUUUUACACAACUAUGUAUAUAUACAUACAUAUAAGCAUUAAAACUUAUUAAAACUAAUUUCUGCACAUAAUUCAUUUUCCUUUUUGCGUAUUUGUAAAAUGCUUCAGGGUCUUUUUUAAUGUUUUUCGUUAAUUUUUGUUCAACUGAUCUUUUGGCAUGUUUUACUUCUUUAGUAGCUGUGUUCAGUGCUCUUUUAUAUUUAACACAGUAUUGAUAAUCUCUGGAAUUGCUAUAGACCCUUCACCAGCGUAUUUUUCUUUUUCUUGCUUGAUAUGCUUUAGAAGUUUGUCCAAAGACUUUCUCUUUUUCUUGGGUAUACACACAAUUUCACAGCUUCUUCUAUUUUCAACUUAAUGGUAUCCCAUAUUUUGUCUACGGAUUUCUAAUAAAAGAGAUGGGGUAUAUAUUAGCAUGUUUAUAGCAUUAUAUAUAUUUUACUGAUGAUUAAGUUUUGGGUAAAGAAUUAAUGGCCCAUAUAGCUUGUCAGGGUAAGUUUCUGAAAAAAGGCUUUAUGGUUUCUCAAAAACAAAGUUGUUAAAGAAGUUUCCCGUCCUUUUGUUUCGUCUAGUAAUAAAGCUUGCGGCUAAAGUAGUCACGAUGGAAAACCUGAGAAUUGUGGUGCAGUACACUUAGUCUUAUUUAUACAGUUUUCCGAUGGUUGACAAAAGUGCAAGGAAAGAAUUAUACCAAUUGUAGAUAAAUUACAAAAAAUAAAGAAGAAAAUACAAGGCGCAAAAACUAUUGAUUUACUUCACAAAACUUCCUCUAAAAUUUGAUAAUGAAAAUUACAAAAUCACAGGGAAUAGAAUACUUCUAACUAACACAAUUAAAGGUUUAUUUGGAGCUGAUGUGGCAUAUCAUUAGGAUUGUUAUAGGAAUUUCAGGAGCACUUUGUGGCAUGCAAGUACUCAAAAAUUUAUUCUGUGAUUAAUUCUGAAACAUCCGUUGUGAAGAAGUUAUUUUACACUCCUUCAUGCAUCAUGUUAUUGACGCUUUUCCUAAUCGAAUUUUAAAAUCAAUUCUGAACAUUUUAGAGGUAUAUAGAUCUAAUGUAUACGUAGAAAAUUUAUUAAGGGCAUUAAAAUGCAAUCAAGGUGGUAAACGAUGUUGAACUUAUGUUGCAGAGCUGGAAGAAUAUACAUUUAUAAUGGUUUUUUUUGUAGUCACAAGGAGUAUAUUAUUCUUGUGAAUAAUUAAAUUUUAUGGCCUUUCCAUGGAGCCUAAAUUUUACUGUAUAAAUGCCUUAACUUUUGGGUAAACGAUGAAGCGAGGGAUCCAUUGCAUUACAAGGCACAGACUAAGCCAAAUAGCUUUUCUAAAACUAGUAAAAACAAACAGCUUGUCUUGUGUGUCAGACAUCAUUAAAUCAAGUUUUAUGACAUAUUCAAGCACCUAAGUUAUAUGCCAGUAAGGCAUUUUUGCUCUAUUUAACAUCAGUGGUAACUGCUCUAGUAACGUUUUAAACAAAUCGAAAUGAACAUCGCAAAGAGUGCAAGAUAAUAACUGUAAAAAUGGGUCAAGUGUACCGUCUUCACUGUUAAAACAUAAUCCCUGUUAGCGGGCAGAAUAUCGAAAUAAUAAGAAACAAAACAAAAAUGGAGGUGACCCUUUUAUGUUUGUUUAUUUCAAGCGUUUUCAGUAAGAUUUCUAAAGAAGCGUAGCUGAAAGCAUAUGUCAGUUAUCUUAAGUGUUGUUUAUGUUCUCCAUUGCUUAACCUUUCAUAAUACUUGGCAUUUGCUAUCAGUGGCCUAAAUUAUUUAUUUUGCAUGAAUGUGUGGACGUAAAAGCAAGUCUCUGCUUAUGGUAUAUACCUUAAAUCCAAAUUAAUUUUUGCACAUACUUUUUGUUAUUUUUGGAGGGAAUUUGAACUUGUGUAAAAAUUAAUAUGCCAAAAUAGAUUUUUGUUCACAACGUUAUGAAUGCAUUAUUAUAAAUAAGGUGUGUAGAUAAAAUUGUUGAAAUUUAUACUGUUAGUCAAUUACUUGUGAAUGUUUAUAUGCAUAACUUUCAAGAGUAGUCAAUUUAUUUUGAAGUUUAUAUACAGAUAUAAAUAAACAAAUACAAAUAAGAUUGACUAUAGGUGCAAUUGAGAUGUUGUUUCAUGUUUUUUUAUCG